CCUACGGGAGGCUGCAGUGGGGGAUAUUGGACAAUGGGGGAAACCCUGAUCCAGCGACGCCGCGUGAGUGAAGAAGUAUUUCGAUAUGUAAAGCUCUGUCAGCAGGGAAGAAAGAAAUGACGGUACCUGACCAAGAAGCCCCGGCUAACUACGUGCCAGCAGCCGCGGUAAUACGUAGGGGGCAAGCGUUAUCCGGAAUUACUGGGUGUAAAGGGAGAGUAGACGGUGAUGCAAGUCUGGAGUGAAAGGCGGGGGCCCAACCCCCGGACUGCUCUGGAAACUGUGUGACUUGAGUGCAGGAGAGGGAAGCGGAAUUCCAAGUGUAGCGGUGAAAUGCGUAGAUAUUAGGAGGAAUACCAGUGGCGAAGGCGGCUUACUGGACUAUAACUGACGUUGAGGCGCGAAAGCGUGGGGAGCAAACAGGAUUAGAUACCCGGGUAGUC
rnacentral:rRNA from 1 species